rnacentral:rRNA from 1 species
GCAUUGGUGCUCUUAGCGGAAAGGCUUUGGGUGCUUGCCGGCGAAUUGCAAUGUCAUUUUGCGUGAGGAUAAAUCAUUUGUAUACGACUUAAAUGUACAACAGGGUAUUGUAAGCAGUAGAGUAGCCUUGUUGUUACGAUCUGCUGAGAUUAAGCCUUCGUUGUCUGAUUUGUU